UACGUAGGGUGCGAGCGUUGUCCGGAAUUAUUGGGCGUAAAGAGCUUGUAGGCGGUUUGUCGCGUCUGCUGUGAAAAUCCGGGGCUCAACCCCGGACUUGCAGUGGGUACGGGCGGACUAGAGUGUGGUAGGGGAGACUGGAAUUCCUGGUGUAGCGGUGGAAUGCGCAGAUAUCAGGAGGAACACCGAUGGCGAAGGCAGGUCUCUGGGCCACUACUGACGCUGAGAAGCGAAAGCAUGGGGAGCGAACAGG
rnacentral:rRNA from 1 species